rnacentral:tRNA from 10 species
AAAACUGGAAUUCAAGAAAAUGGAAAGAAAGCGUGUAUAAUAGAAAAAAAAUCAAAAGUUUUGGAUUAAAUACUAGCUUGGACAUGUGCUAAUUGAGUAAACCUGCUGUAAUACUUAACUUCUGUAAGUAUCUGUUUGCUGGUCUGUGAAAUGAGAAUACCUGACAUGCAAUAAUUGGGAAGUUUCAAUAAAACAUUGUGUAUAUAUAUAUUUUAUAUUUUAUAUAUAUAUAUAUAUAUAUAUAUAUAUAUAUAUAUAUAUAUAUAUAUAUAUAUAUCUCAGGACCUCAGAAGAUAAUUAAAGAGUUAUAGAUUCUGGAGUCAGCAAGUUAUGAGUGAGAGGUGAAGCGACUGGAAGAGGACUAAGUUGUCCAAAAAGACUGCAGCAGAUUAAAAAAAAAAAAAAGCAUCUGGCUUUAGGUAUAGGAACAUUUCAGAAAUGGGUAAGCAAAAGAUAAGAAAGAAUCUACAGAUACCUGUUUGGGUGUAUAAGUAAAAAGAUAAUUUCAAAAUCAUUUCUUUAUUGUUUAUAAUUAGAUAAGCCUCCUGUAGUGGGAAAUGAGAGUAAGAAGACAGAAAAAAAAAUUGACCUCUUGAGAAUAAAAAUUCUCAAGGUGAAAGGAGAUGGGAUUCAGACGUGGACAAGGCUGAUUGGAAAGAUAAAGGAUCCCUCUAAGCAUACAAUUAAAAAUACAAACAAUAAUAAACCAAAAUAAGUUUAAGGCAGGCCAACAGAGUUUGAAGAAGUAAACAAUAUAACAUCUCACCCACCACCACACAAAGCUAGUUUUUUAAUCGAGAAAACUUAUACUAUGGGAAUCAUGGCCUUUAUCCUAAGAGCCAUACUAGAUGUAAAAAUCUCUCUAAAGUACAUGAUACAUAUUUAAAUAUACACACAUACAUACACACAUACACAUAUGCAUAUAUAAGUUUUUGAAAAACAAAAUUAUGAAAAAGUUUUCUUUUUUAUGCAUCUUUUGCUUGUAUCAAUAAAUCCUACAGUCAACUUACAAUGAAGGCCAGUUUUUCUCAAACGCCGUAAUGCUCUGCCUAAAUCAUUCAUUUUAAAAAUGAUGGGUAAAACUUUACAAAUAAAAUGAAGUAUACUUUAUGUUAAAUAAUUUUGAAUUCUCUAUAUUUAAAAAUAAUAUUGAGAUUAUUACUCCAGUAAACAAAACUGAAAUGCUAAAGAUUACAUUUAAAUAACACAUUCUUUAUUAUUAUUAUUUUCUUAUUUUAAAUUUUACUUUAAGUUCUGGGAUAUGUGUGCAGAACAUGCAGGUUUGUUACAUAGGUAUACAUGUGCCGUGGUGGUUUGCUGAACCUAACAAACUGUCAUGUAGGUUUUAAGCCUCGCAUGCAUUAGGUAUUUGUCCUAAUGCUCUUCCUCUCUCCCCUUGCCCCCCACCCCCCGACAUAGUGCAUUAAAACAUCAAGUAUUGUAAUUUGCAGUUUGUGAUACACCGUGUAGGCUAGAAUAAGAAACCUUUUAAGUAUGAAAUAGGAAGAUAUAAAGAAAUUAAUUAAUUUUUAAAUUUAAUUUUAAAUUUUCAAUUAAUGUUUAUAUUUUAAUAAUAAUGCUUAUAGUUUAAUAUUAGCUAUUGAUGUUUUAUCUAUAAAGGUAGACUAUGAAAUUUACUUUUUGCAUAUUUCAACUUUCUUAGUUUUCAAGAUUUUUCAAAUCAUGUACAUAUUUGAUGAUUUUUAUGAUUCAUUGAGGUAACUAUUUGAUAAUAUUGUUCAAAAUGACCACAUUAAUUAUGUUUUUAGUAAUGAUUUACUCCCCAAAAGGUAUAUGUUUCCACCUUAAAUUCCUGUAAAUAAAAUUCUUGUGAUAGCUUCUUAAAAAGUAAGAGAAAAGAAAGAGAAAACUGAUUCGUUUCUACUUGGAGCUUGAUUUCAAAUAUGUAAACCCCAACUACGUAAUUCUGUACACAGGAAUCUCAUUAUUUAUUUUCAUAGUUGCUGCUUUAUUUAAAAUUUUGUCUCUAAAGUUUAUAUUUGGCAAGACAAAUAAAAAUAAGCUGGUUUAUAAUUUUUCUUAUUCUAAGAUGUGCAUGUGUAUAUGUGUAAAUAUGUUUUAAUUUCUAAUGGCCUGUCCAGAUGAAGGUAUCACUCCUGGAGACAUGGCAACCCAUAUGAGAAUGUUUAUAUACACUGGGGUGGAGAAGAACAGCCAUGCCCAAAUCCUAAUUUAAAUCACCUUCACCUUUGAAAUGUUAAAACUGUAUGUGUCUUUUUCAGUUUCUCUCUGCUCCUCCUUUUCUCCUAUGCUCUUGCUCAGAAAACAUUUAAUUUCAACUCAGGUGUAUUUAUUAGAAAGAAUCCUUCCAUUUUAAUUUUUUUGAAAGUCAUUGGAAGCAGAUCCUGUGUCCUUAUAAAAUUCCACAAUAAAACAUUUACUUUUGUAAGCUAUGUGUAUCUAGAUGGUGAUAUUAUUGUUAGGAAAUAAAAGGAGAGCAUUUGGUAACUAUGGCAACAUGAUAUGUUUCAAAAGAAAUAUGGACUCUUUUUCCUUGAAGAAAUUAGAUAUUUUCCUUGACUGGUACUUAGGGAUCCAAGUCUAGAAGAGAAAUAGGAUUUUUUAAGGCUCACUAUUUUAGUCUUUUUUUUUUUUGGAAAUUGUUCACCUAGCCACAUCUGACAAAAUAAAAGAUUAAAUUUGAGGCUGCAGAAACAAAAUUGCAGUUGUAAUUUGCCAGCACCUAGUCCAUGUUAGGGUAAACAAACACAGUCAAUUCCCAUUUAUCUAAAGUUUAAGCAAUAAUAAUUUUCAAAAAUGGAAUUUCUUGCCGUAUUAUUUUUUCUCCAAAACGCACAAAAUGAGAAUGUGUUAGUCUAGUCUCAUGCUGCUGAUAAAGACAUACUGAAGACUGGGCAAUAUAAAAAGGAAAGAGGUAUAAUGGAGAACUCACAGUUCCACAUGGCUGGGGAAGCCUCACAAUCGUGGCAGAAGACAAGGAGGUGCAAGUCACAUCUUACGUGGAUGGCAGCAGGCAAAAAGAGAGCUUGUGCAGAGAAACUUACAUUUUUAAAACUAUCAAAUCUCAUGAGACUCAUUCACUGUCAUGAGAACAGCGUAGGAAAGAUCCACCCCCAUAAUUCAAUCACCUCCCACCCGGUUCCUCCCAGGACAUGUGGGAAUUGUGGGAGUUACAAUUUAAGAUGAGAUUUGGGUGGGGACACAGCCAAACCAUAUCAGAGAAUAUUCUUUAUAUAGAGAUAUAUUGAAAAAUGUUACUUCUGGUUUCAGUCAUUACACAAUAAUAGAGUCCGACUUCUAAGUCAAUAGUUUUAAACGAACAAUUUAUUUUCACCACAAAGAUUCCAAAACACUAUGUGACUGUGAAUUAUCAUCCUAAUCAGAUUAAUUUUUUGAUAUAAUUUUAGGGUUAGUUUGGAUUAUUAGUGUGUGAGUUCUGUGAAAAUUAUGACAGUAAAAUAUGCCUGUAGCCAUCAGCCUAUAACAGGAGAUCUCAUUGUGAGCUCAAGGAAGAAGGAAACACACUGAAAUUUCUAUAUUGGUGCAGGAUGAUGGUAAUUGCAAGAAAGGGCUUAAAUAAAACAGUAGUAUAAAACUCAAUCUGAUACAAAAAAGUCAGCGGCAAGACAAAAAUAGUUUAUAAAUAUAAAAUAAGGAAUCAAAUCUAAGCUUGUGCGUGAAUAAGAUUAAAAAAUUAUCAAAUUCAUGUUCAGUAUGGUAGGAGUGACCUAGACAAAAGAUGAGGAAGAAAGAGUGACUAUCUAAGUAAUUUUAUGGGAUUAUUAUGACUUUUAAAAAUAUUUGAUCUUUUGAACAUCUCACAGGAUAAAAUAUUGAAUUAAUUAGAAUAUUUAGUUGACUGAAACACCCAUUUUCUUACUUAUUUUAAAAAACUGAAUUUUAAUGUAUAUAAGUAUAGAUUAAUGAAUGUAUACAUAAACACAGAGAAAGAGAGAGAGAGAAAAAAACAUUCUCUGCAUAUUGCUUCUUCUUGCAAGAAUGUUAAGAACAAACAUUUUUCUUUAUGUCUCUCUCCAAUUAAGUUAAAGAUGGUGGAGCUGCAUACUAGUUGCUAUUAUAAUAGCUUUUUCAUAACAUUUUGUUCACAGUUGGGAAAAACAAAUGAGCAAAUAAACAUUGAGAUGUAAAAGCAGUGUACCACUACCUUUAACGUACCAGUCUUUAUUAGGUAAGAGAGUGUUUUGAUGUGUAUAUUAUCUUCUGCUUUAUAAGGUAGCUUACUUUCACCUGCUUAGGUGGGAACAGAUAGAUGAUAGAUAGAUAGAUAGAUAGAUAGAUAGAUAGAUAGAUAAAUAGCCAGAUAGAUUAG